rnacentral:rRNA from 1 species
GACCUAGUUAAUAGGUAUGCUUUAGGAGGGGCUUGCGCCAUAUUAGUUAGUUGGUAAGGGUAAUGGCCUACCAAGACGAUGAUGUGUAGCUGGACUGAGAGGUUGAACAGCCACAUUGGGACUGAGACACGGCCCAAACUCCUACGGGAGGCAGCAGUAGGGAAUUUUCGGCAAUGGAGGAAACUCUGACCGAGCAACGCCGCGUGAAUGACGAAGUACUUCGGUAUGUAAAGUUCUUUUAUCGAGGAAGAAAAGCAAAUGGCGAACCAUUUGUUUGCCGGUACUUGAUGAAUAAGCCCCGGCUAAUUAUGUGCCAGCAGCCGCGGUAAGACAUAAGGGGCAAGUGUUAUCCGGAAUUAUUGGGCGUAAAGGGUGCGUAGGCGGUCUAGUAAGUCAGUGGUGUAAUGUCAACGCUUAACGUUGUCCGGCUAUUGAAACUGCUAAACUUGAGUUAGAUAGAGGCGAGUGGAAUUCCAUGUGUAGCGGUAAAAUGCGUAAAUAUAUGGAGGAACACCAGAGGCGUAGGCGGCUCGCUGGGUCUUAACUGACGCUGAGGCACGAAAGCGUGGGGAGCAAACAGGAUUAGAUACCCUGGUAGUCCACGCCGUAAACGAUGAGUACUAAGUGUCGGGUUAAACCGGUACUGAAGUUAACACAUUAAGUACUCCGCCUGAGUAGUACGUACGCAAGUAUGAAACUUAAAGGAAUUGACGGGACUCCGCACAAGCGGUGGAUCAUGUUGUUUAAUUCGAAGAUACCCGAAAAACCUUACCAGGUCUUGACAUGUUUUUGCAAAAUGAUAGUAAUAUCGUGGAGGUUACCAGAAACACAGGUGGUGCAUGGUUGUCGUCAGCUCGUGUCGUGAGAUGUUAGGUUAAGUCCUAAAACGAGCGAAACCCUUAUCGUUAGUUGCCAGCACGUUAUGGUGGGGACUUUAACGAGACUGCCAAUGAUAAAUUGGAGGAAGGUGAGGAUCACGUCAAAUCAGCAUGCCCCUUAUGACCUGGGCUACAAACGUGAUACAAUGGCUGUUACAAAGGGUAGCUGAAACGCAAGUUCUUGGCCAAUCCCCAAAAACAGUCCCAGUCCGGAUUGAAGUCUGCAACUCGACUUCAUGAAGUUGGAAUCGCUAGUAAUCGCGAAUCAGCAUGUCGCGGUGAAU